UUGGCGGUGUACUCCCAGGUGCCCUCGCCGCUCAGCAGCGCCUGCUCGCCGAAGUGGUCGCCGUCGGCCAGGACUCCUAGGCGGGUCUGCUCGCCGUAGGAGCCCUCGCCGAGCUUUUCCACCUUGCCGUGGGCGAUGAGGAACACGGUGUCGGCCGGCUGUCCGGCCUCGGCGAGCACGUCACCCGGUUCGUACUGCCGCUGGACGAACUUGUCCGCCAGGGCGCUCAGCCCGGCCUCGUCCUGGAAGGAACGCAGCGCCGCGAUCUCACCGAGCUCGUGCGGGAUCACCCGGACCUCGGACCCGGUCUUCACGAAGGUGACCCGGCCGUCGCCGACCGAAUAGCUCAGCCGGCGGUUCACCCGGUAGGUACCCGCGUUGACCUGGACCCAUGGCAGUACGCGCAGCAGCCAGCGGGACGAGAUGCCCUGCAUCUGCGGAGCGGACUUCGUGGUGGUCGCCAGAUUGCGAGCGGCGGCCGUGUCGAGACUCGUGCGCGGCUG
rnacentral:antisense_RNA from 1 species